rnacentral:rRNA from 1 species
GAUUAACGCUGGCGGCGUGCAUAACACAUGCAAGUCGAACGAUGAAACUUAGUCGACUUCUUCGGAAAGACACUAAGCGGAUUAGUGGCGAACGGGUGAGUAACGCGUGAGUAACCUGCCUUACACAAGGGGAUAGCCUUUGGAAACGAAGAAUAAUACCCUAUAAAACCAUAAAAGCACAUGCUAGAAUGGUCAAAGUGAUAGCGGUGUAAGAUGGACUUGCGUCUGAUUAGCUAGUUGGUGAGAUAAAAGCUCACCAAGGCAACGAUCAGUAGCCGGCUUGAGAGAGUGUACGGCCACAUUGGGACUGAGACACGGCCCAGACUCCUACGGGAGGCAGCAGUGGGGAAUUUUGCACAAUGGGGGAAACCCUGAUGCAGCGACGCCGCGUGAUUGAGAAGGCCUUCGGGUUGUAAAAAUCUUUUGUAUAGGAAGAAAAUGACAGUACUAUACGAAUAAGGUCCGGCUAAUUACGUG